ACUGGGUUGGCCGAGUGGUUAAGGCGUUGGACUUAAGUUCCAAUGGACAAGUGUCCGCAUGGGUUCGAACCCUACACUCAGUA
rfam:Ciona savignyi cont_32240, whole genome shotgun sequence.